UCCCUGUUGGCUCAGAUGGUAAAGAAUCUGCCUGCAAUGCAGGAAACCUGGGUUCAGUCCUUAGAUUGGGAA
rfam:Ovis aries breed Texel chromosome 2, whole genome shotgun sequence.